rnacentral:rRNA from 1 species
GAUGAACGCUGCCCGAAUGCUUAACACAUGCAAGUCAACUGUGGCGGACGGGUGAGUAACGCGUAAAGAACUUGCCUCACAGAUAGGGACAACAUUUGGAAACGAAUGCUAAUACCUGAUACUGUGAGAGUGCUUUGCGUCCCAUUAGCUAGUUGGAGAGGUAACGGCUCACCAAGUCGAUGAUGGGUAGCCGGCCUGCGAGGGUGAUCGGCCACAAGGGGACUGAGACACUGCGAUGACUCGUACGGGAGGCAGCAGUGGGGAAUAUUGGACAAUGGACCAAAGUCUGAUCCAGAAAUUCUGUGUGCACGAUGAAGUUUUCGGAAUGUAAAGUGCUUUCAGUUGGGAAGCAGUAACAAAAGAAGAAGUGACGGCUAAAUACGUGCCAGCAGCCGCGGUAAUAC